rnacentral:rRNA from 1 species
CACGCCGUAAACGAUGAGUACUAAGUGUUGGGAAACCAGUGCUGAAGUUAACGCAUUAAGUACUCCGCCUGAGAAGUACGUUCGCAAGAAUGAAACUCAAAGGAAUUGACGGGGGCCCGCACAAGCGGUGGAGCAUGUGGUUUAAUUCGACGCAACGCGAAGAACCUUACCAGGUCUUGACAUCCGGUGCAAGACACUAGAGAUAGUGGGAUAGUUAUGGCCGAGACAGGUGG